AGAAAUAUAGUUUAAAAAAAAUAUUUAUUUUGCGUAUAAAAGAUGAAUUUAAUAAUUCUAUUUUA
rnacentral:tRNA from 1 species